rnacentral:rRNA from 1 species
GUUGGGUAGGGGAGCGUUCUGUAAGCCUGCGAAGGUGUACUGUGAGGUAUGCUGGAGGUAUCAGAAGUGCGAAUGCUGACAUAAGUAACGAUAAUGCGGGUGAAAAACCCGCACGCCGGAAGACCAAGGGUUCCUGUCCAACGUUAAUCGGGGCAGGGUGAGUCGACCCCUAAGGCGAGGCUGAAAAGCGUAGUCGAUGGGAAACGGGUUAAUAUUCCCGUACUGGUGGUAACUGCGAUGGGGGAACGGAGAAGGCUAGGUUGUCCGGGCGACGGUCGUCCCGGUUCAAGCAGGUAGGCAGAGUGAUUAGGCAAAUCCGGUCACUUAAUGCUGAGAUGUGAUGACGAACCACUAAGGUGGUGAAGCAAUUGAUGCCCCGCUUCCAGGAAAAGCCUCUAAGCUUCAGGUUACCAACAAUCGUACCCCAAACCGACACAGGUGGUCAGGUAGAGAAUACUCAGGCGCUUGAGAGAACUCGGGUGAAGGAACUAGGCAAAAUGGUGCCGUAACUUCGGGAGAAGGCACGCUGGCGGUAGGUAAAGUCCCUUGCGGACGGCGCUGAAGCCAGUCGAAGAUACCAGCUGGCUGCAACUGUUUAUUAAAAACACAGCACUGUGCAAACACGAAAGUGGACGUAUACGGUGUGACGCCUGCCCGGUGCUGGAAGGUUAAUUGAUGGGGUCAGCCGCAAGGCGAAGCUCCUGAUCGAAGCCCCAGUAAACGGCGGCCGUAACUAUAACGGUCCUAAGGUAGCGAAAUUCCUUGUCGGGUAAGUUCCGACCUGCACGAAUGGCGUAAUGAUGGCCAGGCUGUCUCCACCCGAGACUCAGUGAAAUUGAACUCGCUGUGAAGAUGCAGUGUACCCGCGGCAAGACGGAAAGACCCCGUGAACCUUUACUAUAGCUUGACACUGAACAUUGAGCCUUGAUGUGUAGGAUAGGUGGGAGGCUUUGAAGUGUGGACGCCAGUCUGCAUGGAGCCAACCUUGAAAUACCACCCUUUAACGUUUGAUGUUCUAACCUAGGCCCAUAAACUGGGUCGGGGACCGUGUCUGGUGGGUAGUUUGACUGGGGCGGUCUCCUCCUAAAGAGUAACGGAGGAGCACGAAGGUUGGCUAAGCAUGGUCGGACAUCAUGCGGUUAGUGCAAAGGCAUAAGCCAGCUUGACUGCGAGAGUGACGGCUCGAGCAGGUACGAAAGUAGGUCUUAGUGAUCCGGUGGUUCUGAAUGGAAGGGCCAUCGCUCAACGGAUAAAAGGUACUCCGGGGAUAACAGGCUGAUACCGCCCAAGAGUUCAUAUCGACGGCGGUGUUUGGCACCUCGAUGUCGGCUCAUCACAUCCUGGGGCUGAAGUAGGUCCCAAGGGUAUGGCUGUUCGCCAUUUAAAGUGGUACGCGAGCUGGGUUUAGAACGUCGUGAGACAGUUCGGUCCCUAUCUGCCGUGGGCGUUGGAAGAUUGAGAGGGGUUGCUCCUAGUACGAGAGGACCGGAGUGAACGCACCACUGGUGUUCGGGUUGUCAUGCCAAUGGCAUUGCCCGGUAGCUAAGUGCGGAAGAGAUAACCGCUGAAAGCAUCUAAGCGGGAAACUUGCCUCGAGAUGAGUCUUCCCUGUCGCUUUAAGCGACCUAAAGGAACGUUUAAGACUAAGACGUUGAUAGGCUGGGUGUGUAAGCGUAGCGAUACGUUGAGCUAACCAGUACUAAUGAACCGUGAGGCUUAACCUGACAACACCGAA